UUCAGCUGACCUAGUAUGGUCGACUGCUAGAGUGAACCAGACCUUCAUCCCUUCAGGGAUCUACAGUCUUGGUUACUUUGCCUUUUUUUAGGCUAUGAUUAUCACAAUUGUUUGUUUGCUGUUUUCAUCAGCCUUGGAAACAUCAAGACAUGCCCCCAGUGAAUCACCUGAGUUCCAGACACAUCCUCACUGUUUUAUUUUGUAGUCACAUUCCUAGCUCCUCAUGUUAACCAACAUAUUAAUUCCCCUUUCUUGCCUGUUGUCCCACAGACAUGAGCAGCCCAACAGGACCAGUUGGCAGCUGUAGCUUCAGUUUUGUGGAGUCCUUACAGUGCUUCCUGGUGGAAGUGUGCGAGCUUCUUCCCUUUACUCCGUCAGGAUACAGGACCUCCAAUCCAGCAAAGCCUAGGUGGUAGGAAUGGGAAACACAUUCUACAAGUAACUCACUGGGAAUGGUGAGCCACCCAAGAUUGACAUAGAGGAUGACAGAUCACAUAGGAGAGAGAGGCCAUGCUGUUCCAUCUGUUUCAGCUACCCGACAUAGAUUCAACUUCAGCUAAAGACCCUGAAGAAACAGUGCCUCCUUCCAAAGAACUGAAGAGUCGAGAAGCUUCUAGGUUCAACUGGCCAGUGUCUAAACUGACAACCUGUUCUUCAGCCUGAGGGAUGAUAAAACUUCACGGACUGGGAGAGAAUUCCACGUCAAGAAUGUCUGCUUCUGAGAGUUAGCUCUGAUUGCCCUCAUCCCCAUUAACAAAAACAGAUGUGUGCUCAUGAGCAGAGUAAACAUUCAAGGUCAAUAUAUGUUCCUCUCUGCCAAUCUAGUUUGGCACUUCAAUAUGAGCAAA